CAAAAAUAGGUAUUUAUCAUAUUACCCGUUGUCCAAGUUUCGACGAUAAUAUUUUUAAAUAUUAUUUGCAUGAUAACAAUUUUUCUUGCUAUAAAAUUUGGAUUAACCUGAUGAUGCAUCUCUGGAUUUUCAUCAUUAUGAGACACUGCCACAACAUCCCUAGUUCACAAUUUAUGGACAUUCUCAGUGUAGAGCAUUCAUUUAGUGGUACUGAAGUAUCCAAAUUUAAUGCAAAUUGAUUCUUGUACAAGUUUUGUUAGAAAAAUCAAUAUGGUGCUAACCAUAUUAAAUUAAGCAUAUUAACUUAUAACCAACCUUAUAUCACUAGUUUAUGUUUAAUCACAUGUUGCUCACGAAUUAAAUAUAAAAGUCACAAUCUAAAUGUACCUACAUUGUAGAUAAUUCCUAAAGAAAUUGUGGAGAAUAAAGCACCUGAUGAAAGCACCUUGAUAGGACCAAAAUCACACUAAGAAAAAAUAGAAUCACAAAGAAAAUACUCUUUUUCUCUCCUUUGUGUCACUAAAAUUAUGCCAAAGAAUGCAAAAAAAAUUUUUCGCUCUUUUUCUUUGGUUUAUAUAUGGCUCUAUUUUCCUAUUUUUAUUUGGUGUCAACUUGUAUUACCCUAUUGUAAUACUUUACGCAGUAGAAGUAGAGAAAAUUGCUCCAUGCAAUUUUUAUUCCGAUAGGAAAUCUGCUCAUAAUGGGCUCUUAUAAUAAUAAAGUUCUAAGCCUUAUAUUUUGAGUUUACUUAAAUAGAGCCCAUCAUGAGUGUUCGUGCCUUCAAGUUUCAAUUUCAAAGUAAUUUUCCUUUUAAAACAAUUUGUGAUCUUGCUGACAUGUAAAUUAGUUCUACUAGCAAGUUGGAAAAAAAAAAUUAAAAACUAAAAAUCUCACUGUUAAACUGUUAUGCUUCCCUUAACUGACAAUGUAAUGGCUGACUGCUACUUCCUUUUAUAGCAAGUAUAUGAAUCCAUGCUGAAACAUUUCACCUUCUAAAUGUUCAUGAUAUUUGUGUUGACCAUUUUUUCCCAUUGUGUAGGU
rnacentral:misc_RNA from 1 species